CUCUCUCUCUCUCUCCCUCGCUCUCUCUAGAAAAAGAAUCUACACAGAUCAGCACAAAAUUCUUAGUUGUUUUCUCGAGUAUCUGCAGCAGGACCUGCAUUGUCAUGAUGAAACUUCACCACAAUGCAUGUUAUAUUGUCAGCGCUACCACGGGUAAACGCUGCUUCAGUUAGCUUCCGAGCAGCUGCCUCUGGUUCAUCU
rnacentral:misc_RNA from 1 species